rnacentral:rRNA from 1 species
CGGUGCAAGCGUUUUUCGGAAUUACUGGGCGUAAAGCGUGCGUAGGUGGUUUGUUAAGUCAGAUGUGAAAGCCCCGGGCUCAACCUGGGAACUGCAUUUGAAACUGGUAAACUAGAGUAUAGGAGAGGAAAGUGGAAUUUCUGGUGUAGCGGUGAAAUGCGUAGAUAUUAGAAGGAACAUCAAUGGCGAAGGCAGCUUUCUGGACUAAUACUGACACUGAGGUACGAAAGCGUGGGUAGCAAACAGGAUUAGAUACCCUGGUAGUCCACGCCGUAAACGAUGAUAACUAGUCGUUGAGGGGGAUUACCCUUUAGUGGCGAAGCUAACGCGUUAAGUUAUCCGCCUGGGGAGUACGGCCGCAAGGUUAAAACUCAAAGGAAUUGACGGGGACCCGCACAAACGGUGGAGCAUGUGGUUU